rnacentral:miRNA from 1 species
UGGGAGUGGAGCGGAGCUGUC